UAGUAUUGGGUGGAAAGUGGCGGACGGGUGCGUAACACGUUGGUGACCUGCCCCGAGGUGGGGGAUAACCGUGGGAAACCACGGCUAAUACCCCGGAUGCCAAAGUAUUUAGAAAGCUUUGGCUAAAGCUCCGGCGCCUCGGGAGGGGCCUGCGGGCUAUCAGCUUGUUGGUGGGGUAAUGGCCUACCAAGGCGAAGACGGCUAGGGGGCGUGAGAGCGCGACCCCCCACAAUGGAACUGAGACACGGUCCAUACUCCUACGGGAGGCAGCAGUGAGGAAUAUUGCGCAAUGGGGGCAACCCUGACGCAGCAACGCCGCGUGGAUGAUGAAGGCCUUCGGGUUGUAAAAUCCUUUUCCGGGGGAAGAAUCAUGACGGUACCUCGGGAAUAAGUGCCGGCUAACUACGUGCCAGCAGCCGCGGUAAAACGUAGGGGGCGAGCGUUAUCCGGAUUUACUGGGCGUAAAGCGCACGUAGGCGGCGCUGUAAGUUGGGCGUGAAAGCUCCCGGCUCAAGUGGGAGAGGUCGUUCAGAACUGCAGUGCUUGAGGUUGG
rnacentral:rRNA from 1 species